AGAGAGAGAGAUUUUCUUAAUAUGUAAAUGUACAAAAGAGGUAUGUGGCUAUAUGAAGAUUUUAUGGAGAAUGUAACAAUGUGGAAUGUAUUUAUAUGGAGACAGAGAGAUUUUCAGAGAAAGGGAUUUUUCUAGAUGAAGUAAGAGUAAGUUACCAUCAGAAAGUGUAUGUGUUUCCUUAUU